rnacentral:lncRNA from 1 species
GAAGCCAUGAUAACCAGUGUGGAAGAACUUCAUCUACAUUUACACAGUUAGGCUUAAACUUCAAAAUCUUCCCUAUUGCUGAGAUACAGUUCUCUGUAGCAAUGACAUUUUUUUUGGUUUUGGAAUUUGCACACUUAAUAACUUUUACCAGAAGUGGAACAGCUUCUGAACAUAAAGAACGAUAAUCAUCUCCACCAAACUGUGCCAUGACACCCAGGCCAUAAGCAGCAGCUUGCCUGACUUCAGGGUUGUUAUCUCGCAUAUUUAGUAGCAUUGGCCACCGAAAAUAUUCUACAUAUUUAAAUGAAGUUGGACUGCAGUGCUCUAUGAUGUCAUCAAAUAUGCACAAUCCCCACUGUCUGUCUGGCCAUGGCCUACUUGAACAAAUUAGAUUUACAAUUAAUGGAAGUAGUUGUUCAAACCAUGGUAAAAUCUUUUCCUUAUAAGUACUAAAUAAUGAGUGCAAAAUAUCUGAUACUUUGGUCAGAAUAUAAACAUCACAUUCAUCCUCAUCUUGCAGAGACAUCUCAACCUGUUGAUCAUAGUUUUCUUCCUGUCUUUUCACCUGUCUCAAUUCUUGGUUUUUAAAGUGCCCUUCAAGUUUUGCUUUCAGUAUUCCUCCCAGUUCUUCCAAGUGUUCAUCAUUAAGGCAACCAUCUCCCAUAACUUCAAUGGACUUUGCAAAAGAAUUCAUUAUUUCUGAGAGCACAUCUGUAUCUGGUUCAGUACCAAUAGCCUUGAUUAAGGGGUCACAUAUGAAUUGCCACAUCUGUGCAAGAUACUCUGGGCCACGAAUUCUUGCACAUUCCAGGAGAAAAGGCAUGGACUCUGCUGCUGCCACUCGAACAUUGUCAUGGAAAUAAAAUUUCAGUAAAGGAACCAUCAGCUUCACAACUUGUUCUGUAUAUUCCACAAACCCUUCCCUUAACUCCUUAGCAUAGUAAACCAACAUUUGGCAAGCAGUUGCUUUUGCUUCAAGUCCUGAAGUUUUAAUUCCAAAACUCUGCUGGUCUCCAAGAUUUACAAAUUGCCAGCCAUCAUCGUCACUCAUAUUUUCCACAUCCUGUGUGUCUAAGAGAGCAACAUCAGGUUUAGCUGAAGCAGUCUUAAUAAGAGGCUCGAUAACCAGUGGAAGGUACUGUUGAAAAUCUUUUCCAAGAAUUUUACACAUUCUAGCCCAUGCUGAAACCAUGUAAGAGGUCUGAGGGUCAUCAUCUUCCAUAUUAUUUAAGUCUGAUUGUGUCUUCAACAACAGCUGCAUCACAUUUGAUGCAUCUUGCAUAAAUUUUUCCUUCCCAACAGCAAGACCAAUAUGGCUAAUGCACUCGAUAGUUUUUCCUCUCAGAAGCUUGAGUUCCUUCUGAACAGCAAGCUCAACAAUGUGCUUUAGUGAGGGCAUGAAUAUAUCAUAAUAUGGGACAAAUUUUUCUUCUAUUGUAUCUGCAACUGAUGCAAUGGUUGUCACAAGUUGUUCCAAAGCCAACUUAGUUCCAUUCCGAAUCAACUCUUGAAGUUUAAUCACCAAGACGGAAUGUAGAUUUUUCACCAUACUAUCCACAUAUAGAACUAGCAAUGAUUUAGGGCAGUCUUCAAUAAAAAUAAUAAGAGCAGAAGCUGCAUGUGAUUGCACACGCUGAUUACCUUGAUUUUCCAUGGUACGUAACAGAGCUGCAAUCACUGUUUCAUGAAAUUUCUUUUGGAAAUUAGGUGCAAAAUCUGUAGCCAUCUGUCCAAGUGUAGUACAGGCUGCAGCCCUCACCCUUGGAUGAGGAUCCUGAAGAAAAAGCAAAACGGAGUUAACUGUUUCAUCUAGAAUUGAUUCCAUUUGUUGAUGGCAUCCUUCUCCAAUGGCAGAUAAGGCCAUUAAUCCAGCAUGUCGAUACUUCCAGUCAGGGCUCUGAAGCAUCUGCAUGAUAUGCUCCUUGGUCAUUGGUAAAACAACUUUUCCACCAAGCCCACAAGCCAGUCUGUCUAGUGCACUCUCCGCAGCAACUGCAUUGCUGUCAAAAUCAUCUUCUUCCAUUUCAUCAGCAUUUACCCAGUCCUCAUCAUCUUGUAGAUCAACCAUCAUUGCUAAUAUAUGAGGAACUGCCUGUGCAAUAAUAUUUGUAUGUUUUUUCAACAUCGGAGUGGCAGUUUCAGACAAGGUCACUAUAACUUCGAGGGCCAGCUGGCGCUGCAGAUUACUAAGCCUAGAGUCUCCACAUAACUUCAAACUCAACUGUAGAGUAUCUUCUAAAUAAGGACCCAAGUACUUAGGUACGGUAUCUGCAAUCUCAACAAGGGAUUCUAGCACUGAAUCAUCAUCCUGGUAGCAUGAGUCAUUCACAGCCUGUAAGAUUCCAGGAAGCAAGUCUGCAAAGUCUUUGAAAAGAGCAAUAUUAUUCUCAUUAGCAAGUACAAAUGCAGCUGCAGCUCUAGCGGAUAAUGUCCUGAUUGCUGGAUGUUCUUGAUCUUGAAUACACUGGUCCAACAACCGUUUGAUGAUAUCCAAAUCAUGCCGCUCUUGGGUCCCAAAAAUCCCAGGAAAGUGCCAGAAAACGUGAAGUGCAACUUCCCAUAGAACCACAUUUUUGGAGUAGAUUGAAUCAAUAAGAAACUUCAGACCUUCCGGCCAG